UACGGAGGGUGCGAGCGUUGUCCGGAAUCAUUGGACGUAAAGGGCGCGUAGGUGGCCACUUCAAGCGUGCGGUGAAAGUCGGGGGCUCAACCCCUGAUCGGCCGUGCGAACUGGGGGGCUGGAGCACUGUAGAGGCAGGCGGAAUUCCGGGUGUAGCGGUGGAAUGCGUAGAGAUCCGGAAGAACACCGGUGGCGAAGGCGGUCUGCUGGGCAGUAGCUGACACUGAGGCGCGACAGCGUGGGGAGCAAACAGG
rnacentral:rRNA from 1 species